CACGGGACGCUGACUGGCACGUGAUCGCCGUCUCCUGUGCAGUGCCGGAAAGCUUAGAAAAAAAUUUCUGCCAAACCGAGGAAGCCGAUGUUUGGAGGCGGGAGUUCACCAGAAUACGGUAAGGCUCCUUGCUGCUGGGGUUGUAACUGUUGCACCCUAGGGAUUGUACCUCACAAAAGACAGGGUCUGAGCGCAGUUGCUGGAGAAGGGUCUCGAUGGACCGCAUGCACUACGCUCGCUGGAGACUGCCCAUGUCAGAAGCUGCCGGAGUAGAAGCCCAUCUCUUCUCUUCUCCAUCCUGCACCACGAGGGGCUCUGCAUGUGCGUGGCCACCCAGCCCCCAAGUGCAAGGGUAGUCACCCGCUCUCCUGUGAGCAGUCACCCCCAAUAGCCCUAAAGGGAGGACACAUGCUGGGAAGAGACUGGCUCAGAUGGUCCCGAUCUGAGCUUGGAGUGAUGUUCUGGAGUCCCCGUUGCUCCAAUUUAGCCCUGAUGCACAGUGAUAGUGACUGCUGGUCCUUGGAAUCCACCUGUCAAUCACCAGGGCCAUGACUUGCUAAGGGAAUAUGAAAGACAAAGUACUACAUAUUCACCAUGGAAAGUUUGGAAGAUGCUGAGAAUUAAAAUGAAGAAAAUGUAAAUUAUCUAUAAAUUUAUAACCACCUAUUAACACCUGUUAACAUUUUGCCUUUUAAAAAGUGAUUUAACCAGUGCUAAAGGAUAAUGUAAUCGUAGCUGAACUACUAAUAAAU